rnacentral:rRNA from 1 species
UACGGAGGGGGCUAGCGUUGUUCGGAAUUACUGGGCGUAAAGCGCACGUAGGCGGCUUUGCAAGUUAGAGGUGAAAGCCCAGGGCUCAACCCUGGAAUUGCCUUUAAAACUGCAUCGCUAGAAUUGUGGAGAGGUAAGUGGAAUUCCGAGUGUAGAGGUGAAAUUCGUAGAUAUUCGGAAGAACACCAGUGGCGAAGGCGACUUACUGGACACAUAUUGACGCUGAGGUGCGAAAGCGUGGGGAUCAAACAGG